rnacentral:rRNA from 1 species
AACGAACGCUGGCGGCGUGCCUAACACAUGCAAGUCGAACGAAACCUUCGGGUCUAGGUGGGCUGGGGGGGGGGAGGCGGGGUGAGCUGCACGUAGGUUCGGUAUAACUCACCGAAGGGUGUGCUAAUGCCGGAGAGUGUCUUCGGGCCAAAGAGUUAUCGCCUUUGGAUGGGCGCGCGUUGGUUUAGCGGGUUGGUAGGGUAAAAGCAGACCAAGGCGACGAUGCAGAGCUGGUGUGAGAGGAAGCUCCGACACUGUGGGAGUGAGACACGGCACAGACUCCUACGGGAGGCAGCAGUGGGGAAUAUUGGAAAGUGGGCGAAAGUCUGACACAACAAUGGCGCGUGAGUGAUGAAGGCCUUGGGGUUGUACAGCUCUUUUCUCCGGGAUGACAAUGACAGCACCGAGAGAAUAAGCUCCGGCUGCCAACGUC